UACGUAGGGUGCGAGCGUUGUCCGGAAUUACUGGGCGUAAAGAGCUCGUAGGCGGCUUGUCGCGUCGACUGUGAAAUCCCGCGGCUCAACUGCGGGUCUGCAGUCGAUACGGGCAGGCUAGAGUUCGGUAGGGGAGACUGGAAUUCCUGGUGUAGCGGUGAAAUGCGCAGAUAUCAGGAGGAACACCGGUGGCGAAGGCGGGUCUCUGGACCGAUACUGACGCUGAGGAGCGAAAGCCAGGGGAGCAAACGGG
rnacentral:rRNA from 1 species